rnacentral:rRNA from 1 species
AACGAACGCUGGCGGCAUGCCUAAUACAUGCAAGUCGAACGAAACCUCCGGGUCUUGUGGCGCACGGGUGCGUAACGCGUGGGAACCUGCCCUUAGGUUCGGCAUAACUCUCCGACAGGGGUGCCAAUACCGGAUAAUGUCUUCUGACCAAAGAUUUAUCGCCUUUGGUUGGGCCCGCGUUGGAUUAGCUAGUUGGUACGGUAAAAGCAUCCUAAGGCGACGAUUCAUAGCUGGUUAGAGAGGAAGAUCAGCCACACUGGGACUAGGACACGGCCGAGACUCCUACGGGAGGCAGCAGUGGGGGAUAGUGGACAAUGGGCGAAGGCAUGAAGCAGCAAUGCCGGGUGAGUGAUGAUGGCAUUAAAGUUGUAAAGCUCUUUUAACCGGGAUGAUAAUGACAGUACCGGGAGAAUAAGCUCCGGCUAACUACGUG